AUUCCUUUAAGAUCAGGACAAAACAUUAGUUCUUUUAUGUGUAAAAGUGAAAAGUUUAGAAACUCCUUCUUUCCUUCUACUGUUAAUUUAUGGAAUGAUCUUGACUUAGAUAUUAGAAAUUCAAUUUCAUUACCAGUUUUUAAAGCGAAUGUUCGGAAAGUAUUUUGCAUGCCAACAUAUAAUAAGCUUUUAACUUCUCAUUGACGAGAAGGGCU